ensembl:lncRNA
GGCAAAAGUACGUUUCUGCUGUCUUCUCUUAGAAUCACCCCAAACAGGAACGGAGUAAGAACUAAAAACGCAACUUCAUUUUGGACAAUAGCAGAAGACACCUGUAACUUCGAACCCCCGUUGUAUCAGCAGAGGGCCUGGGAGGAGCGUCAGACCCGGAUGCCUGAAGGCAGAGUUGGCAGUCCGAGGCACCAGCUACUGCUGAAGGUCAGCAAAAGGCAGCAGCUGAAGACGAGAGAGUUAUCUGCAAGUCUGAGUAAGGGACAGGCAGAGCCGCCAGAACUCUACUCCUAGUGCCAAGAAGCAGACAAGCCCAGAAGUGUAGCUGUAUUUAUGGGUCAGGCUUCGCAGGCAUCCCUCAGAGGAUGAAGAUGGAGCAGAAACGCACCGGAACAGCCGUGGCUCCUUCACGCACUCCAGUCUCUCUCCCCAAGCUCGCUCACGUGGAGGGCGGGCGAAGGUGACCCCCUCCGGAGAGGCAUAGAGGAUGAAAUUGCAGCCCGGGUACAAGGAGAGUGAGAACACAGUGGGCAGGAGCAGCUCAGUGGCCCUGGAGGAUGUGCACGGGUGGUCAAUGUUCUGCCGCGUCCCAUCUGCCCAGGGCAGGACACGCAGAGCCAGGUUCUUUGGCCUCGGGCUCUGCAGUCAGACACAGGAGCGCAUAUUCGGACUGAUCCACUGACUAGCAACGCGACUCUGAGCAAGUGGCCUAACCUCGCUAAGCCUCAGUUUCCUCAGCUGCAAAACAGGGAUGAGAACCACACAACACGGGGUUAUUGCAAAGACAGAAGGAAGGUAAGGUGCUGAGCACAGGGCCUGGCUCACUGUGAGGGCUCAAAAAUGUUGGGUGUUAUUUGUAAGAAUUAGAUGAACCUGGAAGGUUAUGUUGAGUAGAAGUCAGACACUGAGAACAGUGCUACCCUGCACGAUUACACGGAGAGGAAGUUCUCAGACGGGCAAAUCUAGUCCAGGAAAGAAAUCAGAGCAGCAGUUGCCCCUGAGGUGGGAGGUGGGGACAGACGGACUAGGAAGGGGCGCAGGGACCUUCCGAGGCUGAUGGAAUUGUUUUACAUGUUGGUAGGAGUGUGCACGCAUGUGUCAGAACUCACUGAACUGAAUACAUAGGAUCUGAAUUUUACUGUUUAUAAACUAUACCAUCAUUUAAAAAUUACCAGUAAAAAUCAUUAUUAUUCUACUUGUGCUGGACAUUUUGUGUCCUAAGAUAAACCUUAAUGAGGAGUCCUUCAGUGAUGGAGACCAAACUAGAUUAAACAAAGAGGGGAUUUAUCAAUUCUCUUAGCUGGAAAGAUCAGAAAUAGUUUGGCUUCAGGAACAGCUGGAUUCAGAGGCCAUGCCUCUUCAUCUUUCAGGCGGCUUCCUACCGCAUCGACGUCAUUCUCAGGGAGCCUGUUGCCACAUGGUGGCCAGAGGGCUGCCAGCAGCUCCAGACUGACCAACGAUCAGCUCGGCAGCCCUGCGCCGGGGGGUGGCCUCUGUCGACCACCCCUGCCAAAGCCCUGGGUCUGACUUGAGGAGUGAUCUCAGAUAAAGAACAAGGUGGGGGCUCCCCAGACGUCAGUCCAGAACGGCUUCAGUUCAGGCAUGUUUUGUUGUUGUCGCUGUUGAUCUUGUUAUCAACCCUCUGAGGAGGACAAUUAAAUGAAGUGGUUUAACUGAAUAGAGAGCCAACCUGACAAAAUUGAGUAAUUUUUACACUCUCGGUGGUCUCUUUGUGUGAGGCAAUACUUUAACUGCCCCGAGCCCCGAGCUGAGGAGACCCACAGGACAUUCAUUUCUUAGUGGGCUCUCUGCAACCUCAUUUCCAUUUUCUGAAGGCUCUUCUCCAACUGUGCAGGCCCUUCCGAGGAGCCGUUUGGAGCUGUAAUAACAGAACUUAUUACAGAUUUGACACCACAAAGGUUUUACUCUCUUUUCCUUAUUACGACAUUUUCAUCCUUAGAAAGUCACUCUAGGAAAACAAUAGGUUCCAGCUGUCCCCGUACUAGUCCCUGAGCACAGUCGCUGUCACUCCUGCUGACGAGUGUGUGACCUGGGACUGUCGGUCACCUCUCCUGUAGAAUGGGGAUGAUGUUGCUUUCCAGCCUGCAUCAUGGGAAUCGUUAGAUCCAGGGAAGCUAAUCAAGUGAAGGUAUUUUGAAAAUUACAAACAUGGAGAGUAAGAGUUACAAGAAAGACUCCUAAAUGUCCAGGCAGAGAGACCCUUGUCGGCCCCCUGCAGCCACUUGAGGGUCGCCAGAGCGAGUUUGAUGGGCUAGCGCCCUGGGGAAGGAACUCACUCUCCUUGGGAGCCCCACCCAAGCCUGAGCAGGGAGAUGCUGAUUGCGCACUGCCGGAAACGGCUGUGGCCUCAAAAACUCUGCAGGCCUCAGACGCCCUCUGACCGACUCCUAUGGGGUCCUUUAACAUCUCUAGGACAGAAUUUAAACCCUCUGUAUCCUCUGAUGCGGCAGUUCCACUGAAGGGACUGUCCCUCGCUGAAGCGCUCAUUCCUGCAUGCCUCAGCGCGCUUCAAAGGGGGCUCGCUGUACGGCGUUUGUCAUAGAAAUGCUGCAAAAUACCCCCAUGUUUAUCAAUAAGGAGAGACGUAAAUGCAUUAAAGUACACCUGCAUUAUGGUACGCUUGGCAGGCCUUACAAAGAAUGAAGUAGGUUCAUAGCUCGGUUUCUUGAAAAAAACGUGAGUUGCAGAACAUAUCACUUACUCAUUCAGCAUUCAACAAGUGAGAUUGGCCACCUCUCCUGGCCCUCUCCUGGGAACACAAGAGUGAGUAAGAGACACAGUCCUGGUUUUCAUGGGGCCUAUUUUUGGCAUAAAAAAAUUUAGUGCCACAUCCUCACAAAAUGCCUACUUACAGCAGCCGGCCUUAGAGAGGGGAUUGCAGGGCGGGCCAGGGGCACGCGGGAAGGAGGAAGCUGUUGUCACUUCCUCCGUUAGACAGGUCUGUGCCAUUUGAAUAUUUUACAGUGAGUAUUUGCCACUUUGUAGUUUUGUAAAACCAAUAGAGGGAACAAAAUAAAUGACCUGCGUGCAUGUGCAAGCACACCCCAUCUACAAGGAGCCAGCCUGUGUGGAGGCACAGGGCAGGUAGGCAAGGGUCCAUGGCAGAGAUGGACAUUCCCCAGGUCCCCAGGGGAGGCAGCUGAAAGCAAAUUGCUUCUGGAGGGAGCAAGCUGCUAAGGCAUUCCUUCUGCCAUGUGCUCCUGUGCCAGGAGCCAGGCCUGGCCUGAGAACGUGGCCCCUCGGUCCUGGGUACAGAGGUGGCAGACGCCAACUGGCAUGCGCUGGGCCCACUUUGGGAUGGGAGGCAGGCUCUGUCCCUGCCCCGACCAGGACUUCAUCGUCUUCUCCAUGCCCAUAUCCUGCCCCCUCCAGCACAGGGCAAUGUGCCCCCGUACCAUCAUGCAGAGUUCAAGGGCUAGCUGUACCUCUAACAGGCAACUCCCUUCACCUCUCUGUGCCUCUGCUUUCUCAUCUAUAAAAUGGAGAUGAUGACGAUGAUAGUUAUGCUGAGGGUUUGGUAAGUGAAUACAAGUAAAAUGCUUAGAACAGUGCCGAGCACUGGAUUCAACCUCCUGCCCCUUCCUGCCUCUUCAACACAGACGAGUGUGUGCGCAGAGGGGAGAGCUCUGAGGGUCUGCUAACUUCAUUUCCGCACCAACACAGCCUUGACGGGACAGGUGAGUUUCAAGCACCAGAACCUGCAGUGUAAAAAUGAUGCUAAAAUUUUCAGUGACUCUUUUGUGGAUAUGACUAAAUGUAAAUUUCUUGCUGUUAUAUGUAUUUUCAUCUUGGACUAUUGUCGCAGUUAAAUUUAUGUCCCAACUUGAAUGGAUUACAGGGUACCCAGAGAUUUGGCUAAACGCUAUUUGUGGGUGUGUCUGUGAGAAUGUUUCCAGAUGAGGUUAGCAUUAGAAUCAGUGGACUCAGUCAGGUCGACUGCCCUCCCCAGUGUGGACGGGCCUCAUCCAAUCCACUGAGGGCUUCCGCAGAACAAAGGAGGAGGAAUGGAGAAUUUGUCCCUUCUCUGCCUGACUGCCGAGACGUUGGUCUUCUCCUGCCCUUGGACUGGGAACUACAUCACUGGCUCCCCUGGUUCUCAGGCCAUUGGACUCAGACUGAAUCACACCAAUGGCUUUCCCAGCCUCCAGGUUUCAGACAGCUGGUCCUGGGACUGCUCAGCCUCCAUAACCGUGUGAAUUAAUUCCUCAUAAUCUCUCUCUCUAUCUAUGUAUAUACUAUUGGUUCUGAUUCUCUGGAGAAACCUGGCUAAUACAGCUAUGUAUUUUUUUAGCUUAACUUUUUAUUUUGAAAUAAUUUUAGACUUAUAGAAGAGUUCCAAAGAUAGCAGAGUCUCCAUACACCUUUCACCCAGGCUCCCCAGUGUUCAUGUCUUACAUAACUGGAUACAAUGACCAAAACUAAGAAGUUAAUAUUGACGCAGCACUUUUAACUAAACUACAGACUUUAUUUGGAUUUCUUUUUUCUGUUCCAGAAUCUAAUCCAGGACCCCACAUGGCAUUCAGUCAUCACGUCUCCUUAAUCUCCUCUAAUCUGACACUGCCUCAUUCCUUUCUUGUCUUGCAUGACUUUGACACUUUGAAGGUCAGGCAUUUUGUAGGCUGCCCCUCAAUUUGCAUUUGGCUGAUGAUUUCUGAUGAUCAGACAGAGGUUAUAGAUUUGGGGAAGUACACCCACAAAGAGGAACACUUCUCAUCCCAUCAGAUCAGGGGGUAGGUGAGAUCAGCAUGUCUUAUUGCUGCUGUUGCUAGCAUCCAUCACUUGGUUAAUGUGGUGUCGUUUGUGUUUCUCCACUGAACAGUUACUAUAUUCCCCUCUCCACACUCUAGGCAUUAGAAUUGAGUCACAGGUGCCACCUCGGGAGUGUAGUGGUUAAGUUCGUGUGCUCCACUUUGGCAGCCCAGGGUUCAUUGGUUCAGAUUCCUGGUGUGGACCUACACACUGCUCAUGAGGCCAUACUGUGGCGGCAUCCCACAGACAAAACAGAGAAGGAUUGGCACAGGCGUUAGCUCAGUGCCAAUCUUCCUCACCAAAUAAAAAGAAAAAGAAAAGAGAAGUGAGUCACAGAAUCCAGCCCACACUCCAGGGGAGGGGAGGUAAUCUCCUCCUGGAGGAAGAAGACAUGUCAAAGAACUUGUAGAGAGAUGUUAAAGCCAUAUAUAAUUAGUACAUAAACAAUAAAUUUAAUAAUUAAUUUUAUCAAUUAAUAAAUAUUUGAAAGGAGAUACUUUGAGGCUAUGCAAAUAUCCUAUUUCUUCUUAAACUUUCCCUCACAUGUUAGCAUUCAUCGGGGGACCUCGCCUUCAGCAAGGAUGGUUGUGAUAUUCUAUUUCCCUCAUUCCUUCUCUAUUUAUUAAUUGGAAUUCUUCUGUAAGGAAGUGUCAGCCUUUCCCCUCCAUUUAUUUACUUAUUCAAUCAUUUAUGAGUAUAGGCUCAUGAAUAUGUAUUUUCCUCUUUGGUUAUAAUCCAACACCAUCAUUACGUAUUUUGUUGCUGACAACGUUCCAGUUUGGCCAUUAAGAGUUCUUUCAGCUUGGCUCCUGUGACUUUUUAAUAUGUCCCCAUCGUUUUGGCAUUUGUUUUUGGUUUUGUUUUGCUAUGCUUUAUUUCUCUUUUUUGGUGCAGAUCAUGGAUUUUGAAAGCAUCAGUCAGACAUGUUACUCUCCAACUCCAAACCCUGCAGGGGGUUCUACUGUGCUUAGAAUAAACUGCAGAGUUCCUCCUCUAGCACGAGUCCCUGCGUGAUUUGGCCCCACACAUCUCCCAUCUCACUUUUUCCGCUCUCUUGUUUCUUGCUGACCUCGGCUUCCUUUGGCUUUCCUCUUGUUCUUGUGAUACAUCUAGUUUGUUCUCUGCAAGCCCUUUGCUCCUGCAUCCCCUCUGCCUCAAGCAGCAUCCUUGCCCAGGUUUCAUCUUGGCUGACUCCUUGUCCUUCAAGCCAAAGCUCCCUGAUCACAUGUGAAGUGGCAGGAACACUCAGAAGGGCAAAUGAAGAGAGUUUAAUGAAGGUGCAUUUUACAGAGGUGUGGAGGGGCUCACGGGAACCAGGAAGGAAGAGUGAAGCGCUGAGGAGGAGCCAGACAGGGGCUGUUACCAAUCCCUGGCUUGAAGGGGCAAGAGGAGGAAACAGUGUUAAUAGUGCUAGCAAGAGCUGGGGCCACAGGUAGAGAAUCUCAACCACUGUCCAAACCGUGGUCCCAGCUGGGGCAGUGGUAGGUCUUGGAGUGUAUUAACCUUUCUCUCCUACUCUUUGAUCUCCUGUCAGUGCUCCCCAUUGGUCAGACCCAACAGAGAGCUGGAGGACAAGCCUGCUGCGCUCCACAGAGGUCAGCCUCCUGGGAUACAGGGCAGGGUGGAGAAGGAUGGAGAAUGGGUCUCCAGGGGCAAAUGGAGAAUGCCCAGCUCGCUACCCAACAUAAACUGUGUCUAUCAUCAGUCUAUCAUUUCACCUUGUUUCUCCCCACCCCAUCGUGCAUUUACCAUUAUCUGAAACUGUCUUAUUCAUCUAUUGUGUGUUUACUGUCUACCUCCCCCCAGAAUAAUGUGAUUUCCAUGGAGAAGGGACCAUCUUAUUCACCACUAUAUUCACAGUCCCUGGCACAUAGUAGGUGUUCAAUAAAUAUUUAUGCAUGGAAAAAAAUGAAUUCACGUUCAGAAGCCAAAACACAUGCUCAGGCCCAGGGUACUCCCGGCUGGUUUUUCUCCCUUCAGAAUGCUGAGAGAUAAUCAGCUGGGAUGAUCUGUGCCAUUCCAGAAUUAGAACUCCUCUAGGACCUCUGAUCCACCCUCUCUUCCCAUACUCCCCCAUCAGCCAGCUGCACUCCUGGCACAACAGUGAUGUUUCAUCCGCAGGUGCCUCUGCCAUCUCUCCCAACUUCCUAACCCUGAGACCCAGCUCCACCUGCCUCCCCCUGAAGCCUCUCUGACGUCUGCAGCCUUCUUACCCUCAUCAUUCCUCUUCACAGACGUGCCCAUCGCUCCUACUGCUCACCUAUUUCUCUAGACCUGUGCUGGCCUGUGCAGUCACCACUAGCCACACUAUCCAUCCAGCACUUGCAUUGUGGCUGUCCAAACCGAGAUGUGCCGUACGUGUAAAGCACACACCAGACUUCAAAGAAUUAGUGUGAAUAAAAGAAUGUAAAAAUCUUGAUUACAUGUUGAAAUGAUAACAUUUUGGGUACAUUGGGUUAAAUACAAUAUAUUAUUGACUAAUUUCUCCUGUUUGUUUUCAAUAUAGCUACUAGAAGCUUUAAAAUUACAUAUGUGGCUCACAUUGGAUUUCUGUUGGACAGAGCUGCUCCAGACUAAAUGUCUCCGUGAGUGUCGUUUCAUUUGCCGCAGCAUUCCCAGGGCUGGUGCAGAGCCCGGUCUGUCGUAGGUGCUCAGUAAAUACCUGUUGACUAAAGAAACACUUCCUACUAGGUCUUUUCCCCAGGGGAUCACAAGCUCCUGGAGGAGAAGGCAGGGACCCUCUGUCUGCCUCACAGGUAGUGUGGGUACGCAACUCUCAAGCAGGGCGAGACCUGCCUAUGGCAUGUGUUUGCUGAAUGAAGGUCGUCAGGGAGGUGCAUGCCUGACUGAGGCUCCAGAAACGACACCUGGCGGGGCCUGAUGUGUGAAAUGGGAAGAGAAGUCAGAAGACCAGCCUGGAGAGUAAGCGCCAUUGCCUCCCAUUAAGGAUAACUCGCAAGAGGGUCUUAGAAGAACACAGGGCUCCUACAGAAGAAGGGCAGCACCCUGACCUGUUUUGCUCAGCCAGGGAUGUUGCUAUGUGCCAAUUUUCUUGACAGGAAGAUGCUAGAGUCUGCCGGCUCAGCACGUUUUUACCUGACAGAGGGGGAAAAUACGUAAACUUUUCUGCUGCAGGAUGUUGUAAAAGGAAGAGAUACCUGCUUCUCCCCAGAGGCAGAGCUUGAGCCAGACGUUCUCGUGAGCGCUCUAGAAUUGUUAUUUCAUAAAUCCCUUCAAUUCCUCUGCGAGGCAGAAGUAUUACCAGCUCUGCUUUCCUGAUGAGGAAAGCGAAGCUCCAAGAGGUAAAGUAACUUAGCCAAAGUCUCAGAGGGAGAGUGGCAGAGUCAGCAGUGGAACAUAGUUUUCUUGACCCUUUCUCCAGUGUACUUUAACUAUACCACACUGUCUCUAUCCCUCAAUUGAAAGAGAGAGAGAGAGAGACGGAGAGAGGAAGAGAGGAAGAGACGAAGAGAGGAAAGCGGUGGGGAGGGAGACAGAGAGAGUUUCGAGGUCUGUGAUUCGUUGGUUUAUUCGUGUAGCUCUUUGAUACUAGAAUUUUUCAAAGCAGUAAAGGUGGGCUCUGUUUCAGAGCACAGCUAUGUGACAGGAGCCCAGUUCCGGAAUUCUAGAAUCAACAUCCAUAGUUACUUCUCUCUCUGUCCAAUCACUGGCUUUGUGGGUCCCCAAGCAUAACACUUCCCAGUUCUCCGUGCCCUUCUGUAAGAUGGAGAGCUGAGAUGUCGUGCAUGUUCAAGUUUCCUGGUACACAUACGUAAAACACCAUCUGUCGGCUGUCUGACCUGGCACGUAGACCACCUGUGUCGGUCAGUUAUUGCUGCAUUACAAAGUGCCCCCAAAGAGAUGCUCACUCACAUGCAUGAAGAUCUCUGAUGUGCUUCUGCCUCACAGAUCUCAGCUCAGAACCCUGACCAAAGAGGCCUUGGCCACCCAGGGCAUGUUCUUCUCAUGUCAAUGGCAGGAGCACAAGGGGGUAAAACCAAUCCCUCAAGCAUCCCUCAAGCCUCUGCUUGUAGUCCCAUCUACCAACAUCUCAUUGGCCAAAGCAAGUCACAUGGCUCAGCUCAAAGUCAAGGGGCAGGGAGACUGGAUGAGGUGGGUAGGAGGAAAUAUUCCUUAAGAGCAAUCUUAUCUACUGUGUUCCUUUGUCUAUCUGGGCCUCAACGACUGUUGGUUUCAAUGACUAUUUGGUCAAAGUUAGAAACACACAUCAUGCUUAAAGGAUAAUACUGGGUAUAUUCUUGAUUUGUGAAAUAAUGCUACAACAGAUUUCUAUUGCAUUCUAGUUCAUUACUUCCUUGAUUUGAGUAUUUCACAAAGUCAAAUCCCAUCUCUGAAACUGAACAACUACAUUUGAUUUCAUGCAAUCAGCCAAUGUAUAAAUCCCAUUUCCCAUUACCAAGGUGGUAAAGAAACUUACCCAUAGCAUCAGGAGUGAGCACUCUUCUCCAAUUGUAGUUUUCUUCCUGCAUGAAUUAUUCACAACAAAGGCUCUCCUUAUAAAUCUACUCACUUUUCCAUGGCCUUCACAGAUUUUAGAGCUUGCUACUUUUCUGAGUGCGUUGCAUGAAGGUUUGCUGCAUUUAAUGGCAAAUGGAUUUGGCAUGUUCAUUAGCCAAGUAAUCAUAAAUAUCCAGGUGCCAGUUAUGCACAGAGUGCUGUGGCAGGGGAUCAAAGACAGACUGAGUGGAGGGAGGCAGUCCCUACCCUCAAGGGGCUUAGAGUGUGGCUGGGAAGUUGGGAUGCUCAUCCACGCUGACAUAGACUAGCCCUGCCAGCCUAUAGUGUACAUGCGACUCAGGUCAGGCUGUCACAGAAAAUAUCACCUUACGUUCCACAGUUUGGGCUAUGGAACGAAUGUUUUUGCACAUGUUUCUCAAACCUGAACUCCGCAGUUUGGGUCUCAGAAGCAAAUUUGAAAUUUUGAAGACAUUUCUGUUUUCUGAAAUGAUGGGUUUAAAUCUCUGCUCAGCAAUGCGCAGGCCUCUCUGGCCUUCCUUUCAGCUGAAUUUCUCACCUUAUAAAGGGUAUUUUUAUCAAUUUAUGGAAAAGACUAAUUUUGUUCAAUGAAAGAAGAAUAAAAGCACUAGAUGGGAGGCAGUCACCUUGUUUUCAGUUUAUGUUUCAUUAUGAAUUUCCAUUGCAUCUGACACUCUUGCAUUAAAAAAAUCUUCAGAUACAUCAUUUUGGAGUUAAGGUAAUCUGUCUGCAAAUUUGACAGAAAAUUCGGUAAGGCUGGAGAUCCAUCAUACAGACAUAAUUUGCUACUGCUCUGAUCACUUUCAGUAAAAUGAUCCAAUUAUAUUCCACAUGGCUUAUUAUCAGCCUCUCUCCCUCCACCAGCUGAAAGAGGGAAAAUAGUGUCAUGUUAUGAGUUAAUGGCUAAAGCUUGCUUUGUGCAACUCAGAGUCUGAUUUUGACAGUGAAUUCCAGGGGACAUCAAGCGCCAAACCCUGUAAUCACUUAUGUGCUCAAUAAAUACAUACUGAUCCCGUGCACUACACAAGACACUAGGCAGAGAAGGCAGAGGAGUAACACAAAAAGGAGUAAGACAGGAGGGCCGCAGUCUCAGCACGUGCAGUUGCUGAGCUGCUGACUGACGGGAACAGCUGAGGUGAGCAAGAGAGGGCUCGGCAAACAGGAGGCGGCAGGCCCCACCCACUCAGCUCCCGUUACCUAGCAGCCGGCACACAGGUAAGAUAAUGUGGUAUGGCCAGAUCAUCUAAACUUUUAAAAGAAGCCAAAAACCUGGGCAUUUGGUGAAAUCUCCUGACUCGAAAGCCUGUCUAUUGGCCUCUGGGCUGCUAAUUGGGAGCCCCUGGUAGAGACAGGGUUCCUGCCCUCAAGGAGAGCGGGCAGCAGCAGACACAGUCACUGUGACACAGUGCAGAGUGAGAUGAGCGGUGUGACAGAUGCAUCUCCAAAGUCCCAAAGAAGCAAGAAGGAGGGUGGAGUCCUCCAAGCGUGGGUCUCCUCUUAUGAGACAUCUGUAAGCUGCAGGCCCUCUUUCCUUUGAAGACCCCACCCCAAGACAUGGUAAUCAUAUUAAAAUACAUCCAGUUCUCAUGUUAAAUAGAAUGUUUUGUUGUCAAAGUUUGUUUUCAAAAUAUUAUUUUGAUUUUUCAGUUUUCAUAUUUUGGAACUCAUUAUUUUUUCCCCUCCACUGCAGGUCUCAAACACUGUCAUAGGCUCAUGAAAACCCUGAGAGCCUGAUGGAUAAAAAUACUCCUGGAGUCAGGAAUGGUGUCAUAGAUCUCGAAAGCAAAGGGUAUCUCCACCAGUAGAGAGGGGGCUGAAGGGCUUUCCAGAAGAGGCAAACAGUGGGAGGAUGUUCAGGAACAGCCUAGAAAGGAUAAAGUAUUCAGCCCUUGCCAGAGACAGGUUAGAGAGAGAUCUGGAAAUAUAAUUAGUAAACAAAUUUUGGAGACUGGAUGUGGAUUUUAGACUCUAUUCUCCAGGCCAUGAAGAGCCACCGAUGGUUUCUGGGAGAAGUGUGACCUGUCCAGAGGACUGCAUGUGGGACUGGCCCGGGAAAGCUUCGAGGAGGAAAAAUUUAUCUUAGAGAACUUUAACACUGAAAGGGACAUCAUAAACCAACUACUCUUCAUUUCUUCAAGUUCAGAGUAAAGGAAACUGGCUUACACAGGAAAAGCGACUUGCCUAAGGUCACUGGAAUCAGAGCCAAAGCUGGAAGAAGAGUCUGUGUCAUCUGGUUCGGGUAAACUGGCUUCUCUGUACCUGGCCACCUCCUGUGGGUAUAACCUGGAGAUUAAGCUGACAACUACACAGCAGCACGAGCUUUCAGACACUAAGAAGAGACACAAUGGCCCUCUGAAUGAAGAUUGAUGUCCCCUAAGACAAUCCAGGAAUACUUUCAGUCAUGGGGCCCUGGGGUUUGCAACCAAACUCAGUUGUCUUGGGGUCAAUUAAACUGACCUUUGGAAAGCACUCUCCAUGGACUCUCCAAGUCAGUCUCUGAUUUGCUUUCUUUUUUCAUCCUUUUCAAACACAAGUGAAUGACAUAAAUUUUGUGACUGAUAAGCCUCCCUUUUUCUGAUCCUCCAAGAGAAAAUGUCUGGCCCGGAAAUAACCAUUUUUUUAAGACUGCUGUCCAUUCUUGGCAAAAAAGUCAUGUCAAACAUAGCCCUGGGCUUCCUCAAACUUGCAACCUGCCUUCCGCCAUCAUUUUAACAGAGAGGGCUUCCCAGACAUCAUGAACUUUGCAUGUAAUCUUUGUUUGUCUUUCAAAGAGAUUUGGGGCUGGAUUUUCCAUGACAGUCUGUUAAUGUCAACAUAACCAUUGGUGAUAUGUUGUGUUGUGGAGGCAGUGGAGGUGAGCAAAAGAGCCAUCGAACCACCCUAAAUGGACCAGUCCCACUUACUCUUCCGGCAUUGUCUUCAGAUAGCUAUCACAUCCCUUCCUGAAGACGUCCAGGAGGGGACACACCAUGCCUUGACUCUGUGGCCUCAACCUGAUGCUUUAUCAUUAGACCUUCACAAAGCUGAUUCUCCUGCCAAAACUGUAAUGCCUGGAACAUUCGUUUACUCUCUUCCUUUCUCAGGUCAGUCCCUAAAACAAGGAAAUGGCUGCUCAACCUUGUUCCUCUCCUUGCGUUCUUGCAGAUGACCACUGUUUCUGUUGCGACCGGCACCAAAGGCUCUCGAGGGUACAGGCAGCUUGCAGGGAAGGUUUCCUUGGACUCGUGGCCCCAGAUCCUCCUCCUGGGCUGCCUUUCAGACAUCCACCCUUGGAAAGCUGGUAGCUCGCUUCUCUGCUGCCUCUUCACUUCUUCGAGAUGCCAAGGAACCUACUGCAUGCAAAGUGACAGUUCUUGCCAUGUUUGAAUGUGCACUUACAGUUCCUAAUUAAAUAAUAACUUUCACAGCACUCUGCUGCUCUAAGCCUGAACAGCAUUUCCAUUACCUCCUCUGCUAAAGUAAAAAUUACAGGCCUGUCAUUUCCUGGAUUUUCUCAUAAAUGCAAGCAUUAAAUUAUACCUACACUCAUCCAUUAGUAACUUCUCUUUGUAGUGGGUGUUUAAAUGUCUUAUAAUGACUAUCCUAUCUCUCCAACUUUCCAUCCCUCUCAGAAUAUUAAUGAAUUCCACCUUGUUCUAGAGUUCCUGUCUAGUUUGUCUUCCAAUUUCUUGAUGCAAUAGGAAUUUGAUUUUAUAAGGUUCUUUUUUCCUUCUCUUUGGGAAGGGAAAAGAGAAACAUCUUUCUUAUGCAGAGUUCCCAUUCUUCUUUGAAGGGCAAGAACCUGAUAGAAGACAACUCACCUUUCAGGUUUUAUAUUUUUCUUUGAGCAGAAGUACAGACAGUUUGGGUCCAGUUGCAGACAAUUGAGUCCCUUCAUCUGGGGUAUUUAAUUAUUUUUUGCCACUUGAUCACACUCUGAUGACAACACAUGUUCUGGGUGAUUUAUUGACUCUUAGUCCUCACAACAACCCUAUGUUCCAAUUUUACAGAUAAGCAAACUGAGGCAAAGAGGUUAAUGGACUUUCUCAAGAUCACGCAGCUGGCAAGUGUCAGACUGAACCCAAGCAGUCUGGCCACAGAGUCCACAUAUCUGUCAGGGUUUUUUGAGUUACAGGUGACAGAAGCUCAACUCAAAUUAGCUACACAAAAAGGGCUUAUACAACCACUCCUUGAAAAGAACCAGAAGGGAGUUUCUCUCUGAGACAACUGAGGCUGGGAACUUUGCCCUCAGGACUCUAUCUCUGAUCUCCAGGUGUUUCUAUAUCUCCUUCAGGUUGGUUUCUUCUGCAAGGCAGGAUUCAGGGCUACCAAUUAUUUCUUAGCUGACAUCAGCCCAGCUUCACAGUGAAAAGAAGGCUCUUAGCUCCAUGCUCCAAUUUAAAAAAAGAAAACAAACAGGAAAGGAUAUUGACUGGCCAGAUUGGGUCACAUGCCCAGCCCCUGGACCAGUCACUGUGGCCAGGAGGGUGAGGUACCAGGAUCAUUCAGCCUGGGUUAAGCGCCCAUCCUUGGAGAAGUUAUUGUGGAGUAAGAGAUAAAGUAGCUUCUGGCAAAUCACAUUUUAGAGUCGUGGAAUAAGAGAAAGACAAGACAAUUCCCUAGAAGGGGGAGAGCAGAGUUUUGCCACCGGAAUAAUUACCGCAAGCUGAACAGCUUCAGGAACAGCAGUUAUCUUACCCUUUAUAUUUCUCUGAGUUUUCUAGUUGUUCCUGAAGUGGAUAGAACAGAUCCACAGAUCUGCCAGCACCAGACUUGCAGGUCAACGGUCAGCUGGAACUGAGGACCAGGCGCUCCCUUUAGGUGGCAUGAGGACAGUCCACUUGGCCAAAGCUGCCAUCAAGACUGCUUUGCUCAUUUAUGUGGCCUGCCUUAUCCCUGUAGGCAUUUGAGUUGGAGGCGAGUGGCUUAGUGUGUCACCAAAUAGCACAGUCAGUCACUGGGAUGACCAACUGGAACAUCCGUUUCCUCCAUCAUCUUUGGUCAACAGCCCAUGAAGAAAGCUAAUUCUUUGAAUAAGAAAGAGGCAAGACAAAGGAACUGGCAGUUAAAAACAAGAGUUUUCUUGACAGAAUGGCUUAUGGCAUUUGACAGAAUUUUUCAAGGCGCAGAAAAACAAGUUUGACAGUGUGCGUUUUAAGCAGAGAUGGGUACAUGGCACUUUGAAAGUCAAUCAGUGCCAGCCUUUGUGUGGGGUGGGAGUUGGGAGGGAGGGGGACUUUGUCUCUCUCUCCCUUCUUCUUUCCACCCAGAGCUUCAGUCUGCCCUCUUUAGAUGGCUGCAUGAAAUAGGAAAACCCAUUUCCCUCUUGUUCCCACAAAUUUCCAGGGCGCUCUCUACCUUGACAUUCCCUUUGUGAAAAUGCCCAGCAGCUCCUGGAAAGCCAGGGGCCCCGGGGCAUCUUACAACGCUGAGCCUUUCAAAAUAUAGUUCUGGAGAGUCUUUGCUGCAUAAACCGGAGGCGUUUUCUAGCCAGAUGCCUAUUGAAAAACUUUGAGAGCUUAGAGAAAAGAUUUUGUUUUCCCUGAGAGGCUGGGACGGAAUGGGCUAGUAGUGGAAACACAGGAUGAAAGUUUUAUGUUCCACAUCCAAUGUUCAUUUUUCUCCACAUCCGAAGCUGUAAAAAAUAUAAAGAGCUUUGGUGGGAAGGAGAGGGCGGACCCUGAGCUGGGAAGUGGAAAGCGAGGGAGUAGGAGGUAAUCACUUAGGAAAAGACAUCACAUUGGUCAAGCAAAAGUGGCUCUUCCUAGUCCCCUCUCACUGAGCACCCCUGAGAGGAUGAGUCUCUUGCUUCCUUUUCCGGGAUUAUUGCUUCCAUUAUCACGCUUGGGGCAGAGAGUAAACUCGGCUGCGGUGCUGGCUGUCUCCUUCCGCCGUCCCUUGUGGAAUAGAGCCCGUGUUUGUGGAGCAAUUCCGUGUUCCCGACGGCUUUGCGGCUCCUCUGGGCACAGUUGUCCUCC